UUCAAAUUUGGAGGCAAUUCAUUUUGACUUUUUCUUUUCAUACAUAUUUGUUUUUAUCAAUCCACCCAAACCAAAGCCAGAAGACUCUUGACUUUUGCUCUCCCUCUCUCUCAGGGACGACUCACCAUCACUUUAGGCCCCAUCGCUCACCAUUGAUCUUCCACCAUCGUUCACUGUCAAUCUUCCAUCGUCGCACACCGCCACCGCCGUUACUCGCCUCGCAGCUCCUCGCAUUGCAUUGCUUCGACAUUGAGAACCAAGUGACAGAAAGAUUGGAAAACUGUGUGAAUAUGCUGCAAAAAAUCCUUUAUGUAUAUCCAAGGAACACUUCUGAUGUGUUUUGGGAAGCAAUUUCUAACCAUCAAGUUCUCUCACUGUACUAGGGCCUUGGGACAAAGAACCUGCAGUCUGUUAUUUUUUUGUUUAUCUACUUCUAUGGAUACAGCUUCUUUAAGAAGCUAUACUUAAAGAGAAGUGGAUCAAAAUCUAUUGGAACAAAAGCUAAUUUGGUUCUUACUGCUACUGUUGGGGCUUGUACGGUUGUGGUGACGAAGCCUUUGGAUACAGCAUCAUCAAGGAUGCAAACAAGUGAAAUUGGAAAAUCUAACGGACUCUGGAAAACCCUUUCAGAAAACACUUGAAGUGAGACAUUUGAUGGUCUAGGCAUUUCUCUUCUUCUGACAACAAAUCCAUCUAUCCAGACUGCAGAGGAGGCUAUGACAUCGAUUGAAUCAACAUUUUGCUUUCGAUUGACAACCUCGUCAUGCCAUUGUUCAAAUUGUUUGUUAGGCUCUAAUUUAUUUAGCCAUGAAUGAUAUUAUGUUUCUUUUUUUCUUGUUAUUUUUAUUUCAAUUGAUAGAUUUAGUUUUCUUUUUC